GCGCAGCAGGCGAGAAAACUUCACACUGUGCGAAAGCACGAUGAGGGAAUCCCAAGUGCUUGCACGUAAGUGUAAGCUGUUUCUCUGUUUAAAACGCAGAGAGAGUAAGGGCUGGGUAAGACGGGUGCCAGCCGCCGCGGUAAUACCUGCAGCUCAAGUGGUGACCGUUAUUAUUGGGCCUAAAACGUCCGUAGCCGGUUUAAUAAAUGCCUGGGUAAAUCGUGUAGCUUAACUAUACGAAUUCCGGGUAGACUGUUAAACUCGAGACCGGGAGAAGUUAGAGGUACUCCUGGGGUAGAGGUGAAAUUCUGUAAUCCUAGGGGGACCACCAGUGGCGAAGGCGUCUAACUAGAACGGGUCUGACGGUGAGGGACGAAGCCCUGGGGCGCAAACGGGGAUUAGAUACCUGCGU
rnacentral:rRNA from 1 species